rnacentral:rRNA from 1 species
AACGAACGCUGGCGGCAUGCCUAACACAUGCAAGUCGAACGAGACCUUCGGGUCUAGUGGCGCACGGGUGCGUAACGCGUGGGAAUCUGCCCUUGGGUUCGGAAUAACAGUUAGAAAUGACUGCUAAUACCGGAUGAUGUCUUCGGACCAAAGAUUUAUCGCCCAGGGAUGAGCCCGCGUAGGAUUAGCUAGUUGGUGAGGUAAAGGCUCACCAAGGCGACGAUCCUUAGCUGGUCUGAGAGGAUGAUCAGCCACACUGGGACUGAGACACGGCCCAGACUCCUACGGGAGGCAGCAGUGGGGAAUAUUGGACAAUGGGCGAAAGCCUGAUCCAGCAAUGCCGCGUGAGUGAUGAAGGCCUUAGGGUUGUAAAGCUCUUUUUACCCCGGGGAUGAUAAUGACAGUACCGGGAGAAUAAGCCCCCGGCUAACUCCGUGCCAGCAGCCGCGGUAAU